ensembl:lncRNA
UUUCCAAUUAAUCUGUUUGGCCACUGUGUUUGAGAAAAUCCUUGAAAGUAUAUUCCAAGUUACUCUUUUGGAGUUCUGUCCUCCUACAGCACCUACCCAGAUAGCAAAAAAUAUCCGCAUGGCUUCUUUUUGCCGCCGCGUCCUGCUGGCGGGGAUGAAACGUUUGCCGCCGAAUACGUCACUCCCAUUUCUUGCAAGAUGCCGCCAGGAAACAGCCGGCGGUCCGACUGCUUCAUUUUCUUUGGCGGUUGCCUCGGUCUAAAGGACCGCUGUCGUCCGGCGGCAAGACACUUUUAAAUACAAGGCUACUCUCAAAAUCGACCGGCCAAUGGUUUUGCAUGUUGGGAGUUAAGUGGAACUGACGGCAUUUUUACUACUUUUCACAUUUGAAGCGAUUAUAAAAUCCUAAUAUUUAAUAUGUGAAUUAUAUCAAAUAGUUUUUUUUCUCCAAAGCAUAGGGUUUAUUACAGAUUAUAACAGAUUAAUAGGGUUUAUAACAUGAUUCCAUGAGAGGUAAGGUUUAGGAAAUUACAUUUAAAUGACUUUGAAACUCUGAAGCGAUUAUACAGUAAUAUAUGUAAAAUAUAUCGAAUUAUUUUAUGCACUUAGGGGGAAAUUGUUUACAUUUAUUUGAUUUAGGCACAAUUAUGCUCCUGGAUCCGUCUCUACUGUUGAUGACGCAUUGGAGUCACUGAGGCUGGCCCCUCCCGUAACAAUAAAACUAGAGUACAUUCGCUUCAGUUCGAUCAAUCGUGAGUUACUACAGCCUUCAGUUGUAAGUUAGCAAAUUCAUCGACAUCGACUACCAGCGUUUAAGUAAGUAUAUGUUUGCUUUUUGUGUAACGCAAUAUUAUGUUUACAUUGUUUUUUGUGUAUGUAUUUAAAAUAUGGAGUCAUCUUUGGUCUUGCCUAACUAGUCAAGCUAAAGUAGCCUUGUUUACGCACAUGCUGUUUGCCUAUGUUACAGUAAACACUGAGGUUAAGCAAUGUUGCUAGUACAUGUAGAAAUGUAACUAGCUACAGUAGGUAGCCAGAGCUUUACACUUAGAAAGACUAAGUUGAACUUUUGAUAUUUUUUAACAAAAAUAACGAUGUGUAUAGGUUGUUUAAGUAAUUUUGUUUGCCUGAACAAGUAUGCUGCUAGAGUGGCUAGCAAGUGUUAGCUAGCACAUGCUGUUUGCCUAUGUUACAGUUUCCUCUUUCUCAGAACCAGGUUUCUCCCCAGGACACACUCCACUUCACAGAGCCAAGCGUUUGAGUACGACAGAAAAUUUACCCUUGCAGCAAAUGGAUGAAAAGGCUGGAGGAGAAAGUCAUCGCUCCGUUAUUGGCCCUUGGAUUCCCCUGGCAUCGCAUGUACAGCAUGAAGUUUUCAGCAAUGAAGAUUUCCAGAACGAGAACCAAGCCGUGAGGGAGGAGAACCAAUCUCUGAGGGGAAGCCAUGCACGAGCAGCUUCGGAUGACAGCGGCUCGCUUCAAGAGCAGCUUCGGUUUUUGGCUAUCAAAUGUGGGAGGGACCUGAAGACAACAGUGUGGAGAAUGCUUCAGAGUAUAUUCUCUAAUAACCUUGCCGUUAAUACAACCUGGACAGGUAUAGGGGAUAAAACAUGUUUUAGAGACCUGUUCCUGAAGACCAUUGUUCAAAGGGCCCUCCGGAAGAACCCGGCAACCCAGGAUGACACUGAUGAGGCGGUCCAGGUUAACGUUACACGUUACCUGAAAGGAGCAUCAGACCGUGAAGGAGGAAAAAGCCGCACAGCUGAGAAGGACCCACAGCCGACCCCUUAAACCUAGGCUGACUACUGACACCCCAGCAUCACUGAACUGGAACACUUUCUUUAUCCUGCAGUCAGUAACAUCAAGAAGCCAGAAGUGCCAAACUACACUCACCAAAUCCACCCUGUUUUUUUUUGUAUUUUAACUUUAGUAUUGGCUUAUUCCAUUCCGUCUUAACGAUUCUAUUAUAGUUUGUAAAUCCUAUUUCAUACCUGUUACUUGAUAUUGCACAUUAACUAGUACCAACAUUCUACUUUCAUUUCAUCACUGUGCUUAACUGUUUUUCAUUCAAUACCUCUGAUACUUGAUAUUGCACAUUACCUGGUACCAAAUAUUCUACUUACUCUGUUUUUAACAUCAGCAUUUUUCAUUCCAUCACAGUGCUUAACUGUUAUUCUAUUGUUAAAUAUAGCUUGUAAAUCCUUGUGCCACAGGUCAGCAUUGCAGUUAUAAUGGUCUGUUCUACUACUGUUUUUACCUCUGUAUUUUUAUAUGUGUAUGUCAAGUUUUGUUUAUCACAGAUACAAGAGACACAUCUUAAUGCAGCAUGGUGUAAAUAUUGUGCGCCAGGUCAGCAAUGCCAUUAUAAUGGAAUAUUCUACUCUAGAGCUUUACUCAAUGGCUUGAAAAUGUGAUGUUCUACCUCGUUUUAUUUGGUAUCCUGCACAUUCUUUGGUACCAUAUCCUCAUUACUUAUGUUUACUGGUAAUUAUUUUCAUCCCAGAGCUGACCUCUAUAUUAUUAACAAUUAUUGUGUUUGUGUUAUAAUAUGCUUGUAUGGCUGUUCUUUUUUUUUUAACCAACAUUUUAUUGGAAACCUGCAUGUUCUGUAGUGUGUAUUUAUGUUUAUUUUUUUCUGCCUAUUAUUUAUUUCAGUGAUCUGACACAUCUUGUUUGAAUGACAGUUACUGUACUUUGAAAUGUGGAAUUAAAAC